rnacentral:miRNA from 1 species
AAGCUAUCCGCUAGCCGUGGGAGACGCAGCUCUCCCACAACUAGCGGAGAGCUUGCCGGCACCCAGAAGCUAGGGGCGCGCUGAGCUCAGCACGCCCCAAGCUUUGGGCUUUGCGCAGCACUCCGCUAGCCGUGGGAAAGUCGCGUGGCUCUCCCAUGGCUAGCGGAGAGCUU